GGUGCGGACACCAGUGCCAGGUCAGCCGGUCGCUAAGGAUCCAGCCAGCUCAGCGGGUCCCAGCCGAUUCAGCCAGCCUGAUUUUAUUUUAGAUUGAUUUAUUUUAGUUAGAUUUAUUUUAUGUUGAUUGGAUUUAUUUGCAUAUUGUCAUUUUAGGGCCUUUUCGGGAUUGUUUUAUUUGUAGGGAUCUAUUUGUUAUUUUGUGACCCCAUUUAUAUGGGUUCACCCUCAUGUUUAGGUUUUUGAUGAAUGAUGAAAGAAAAUUAGCCUCCCUAUCUUUUUCUUCCUCCUUCUUUCCCCUCCUCCUCUUCUCCCCCCUCCUCUUCUUCCCCCUUC
rnacentral:lncRNA from 1 species